rnacentral:rRNA from 1 species
CGUGUAGGCGGUCAGGUAGGUCCGAUGUGAAAACUGGAGGCUCAACCUCCAGCUGUCAUUGGAAACCAUCUGGCUAGAGUCCGGAAGAGGAGAGUGGAAUUCCUGGUGUAGCGGUGAAAUGCGCAGAUAUCAGGAAGAACACCUAUGGCGAAGGCAGCUCUCUGGGACGGUACUGCGCUGAGACGCGAAAGCGUGGGGAGCGAACA